rnacentral:lncRNA from 1 species
UCUCUGAAACUAUAAUGGACUUUACAGAAAGCCCAGCUUUGACGGAUGUGAGGUCUGGGAGUCUACCAAGGCAAGGAUCUGGGCAUCAAGGAGACGGAAGAAGCUGAUGACCCAGAGUAGGGCCAAGCUGUUUACCAGCAGGUGUGUGUUUUAGAAAAUCUCCCUUAACUGGUCAUGGCAGCGGAAAAUACCCUGCUGUUAAACGCAUCUGCAAUCCGCUGCUUUCCCAGUCCACCUACAAAAAUUUUGACCUUUAAAGAAAUGAUGGAGAAGCUGGUGAUUUUUCCCUUGGCAUUGAAGCUCAGUCUAUUUCAGGCUCCUGGGCAAUUGCAGCCCUCUCUGCUCCCAAUCUCACCUCACUUUUAAGCCUCGUUCCAGCCACUCUGAACCCUUCAGCACUUUCAGCCCUGCAAUCACGCAAGUUAAGAUCUGUGAUGUGUGAUUUGCAGAUGACACGUCCGACUGAUGGUUGCUGAAGCCGCUUGCAGGCCUGAGGUAGGGGAAGGCGGAAGAGCAUUUCACAGUGGCAGCUCUGUAAGGCCAACCCCAAGUUUCUAGUCUCCUGCAGAUGGGUAACCAUUUUCUCAUUAUUUUGAUUGUGGAGAAGGUAGCUCUUUAUUCCUAUUAGUGUGGAUUACCAUAUUCAUGCUUGAUAACCAACCAAUUGACUUAUUUCUAGUGCUUCUUGUUCCCAUUGUUUGGGUCACUUUACAAACCCAGGUGUGGAGGAGGCAGGGUGUUAAUAACCCAAGCCCCUCCCCUCCCCCACACGCAAACACAAAAUGGAAAUCUUAGGUUCCUGUAAUGACAAUCUGUUUCGGGGAUGCAUGGGGCCUUAAUGAGCUUUCUGAGCAUUAGAGCAAUGACAGUUGCAUUCUGGGCCGUCUUUCAUUGAACUAUCUACAAAAUAUGCAAAUGAGCAAAUCUUGGUGAAAAGUUAUUUCAGUGUCAUUUGUGGAAAGAUUCACUGACUCAGAAAAGACCAUCUUAAUGAAAGCUCGCCUUAUUUGACUUUUUAAGCAGACAUGAUACGUAUAUGAAUGUAAUAUGAUUUGAAAGACACAUUAAUGAGACAGCAGUCAGAAGGAUUAUGGAGGGGCUGUGUUCACACAGCGAGGAAAGCCAAAUGGGUGUAUCAAGUACCCAUUCCUAAUCUUCACUAGCAAAUUUAUUGAAGUGUCUCAAUUUUGCCACACACCCUAACAUCUGCAUAUGGGCCCAGGCUCUUAAUCCUGUCACACUGUGCAGAUGUAGAUUAGGAGAAUGUAUUACCAAUGCCCCUGUCGCCCCCCAUAAAUAUAGGCUGCUAAGUCAAGUGUGGCUUUAUGCAGAAACCCCUUGUCUUAAGCAGAUUUUGCAGUAACUACUGCUCAAAUUCCGAAAAAUUAAAACAAAAACCCCCAGUGAUGGCCUCUGGUACUUUCUUGCUUUAUUUAAUAAGAGACAAUUUAUCCGUGAGAGGGAAGGGUUUCAGAAGCAAAGGGAAAGACUGCAGACCGAUGAAGACCCACCCUGCCGUGCAUGAGACAUGGGACUAGGUGUUUAGCGUGCUUUGUCCCCUUUAACAUUAUAGAGAAGUGUUCACUGAGUGUUCUGAGCUGAGGUUCCACCCAGUGCUUCAACCUUUAAUGUCUGUGUCUUCUGUUCCUUGCUAAUGCUCUUGGCCAGUGUUUGAGUGAGAAUCUCUUUAGAACGCUUCAGAAGGAGUCAGAGAACUUUGCAAGUCCCCACAUCUACCAUCUUCUACAGGAAAAGCAGUAGAGCACGAGGUUCUGAGUACCCAGUCGCAUGAUUAGCUUGCUGCCUAGUGCCAGCACCUCAGACUCAUGCCUCAGCAACCUUACAAAUUAUUCCGUGCUGUGGACUUUCAGGGUCACUUAAGAACAUUAAAAACAAUGAAUGUUAAAUCUACAGUCACCAAGGGCUUAUUGUAUGUCAUC